GGCGAGUUCGUCUAGUCGGCCUAGGACGUCAGGUUUUCAUCCUGAAGAUCAGGAGUUCGAAUCUCCUACUCGCUA
rnacentral:tRNA from 1 species